AUUUUGACGUUUUUUUUUAUCGUGAAGUCGUUUAAGGGCGUAAAGCAAUUUGGUAUUUUAAAUUUUUUUUCAUGUUUUCUUCGGUAGUAGAAAAAGAAAUGUAAAAAUAUGUGGCUGCUGCCCAUAUUUGUUAAGAAAAAACUGCUUUAAGAGAGAAAGACCAUCCAACGAGUUAGCGGAAUAAAACGAAAAUGUUGUUUAGGUGUGGAUGAUGCUCAAAAUUGCGUGCUGUUUUCAUCGCCGAAAUAAAAAAGUGAAAUAAAGUUAUUUAGGAGAACCAGGAAUUAGAACAAAGGAAACUGUUUUUAAUUGGAAAGAUUAUAUCUAGGAAAAAAUGCACCGUUCAAGAGAGAAACAUUCUAGCAUUUUCACAAAUACAGUACAAGCCCUUGAAAUAGUUUUAUCAGAUCCUGCGUAAAUAAUAAAUAAAUUUAAAUAAU